rnacentral:rRNA from 1 species
GACGAACGCUGGCGGCGUGCUUAACACAUGCAAGUCGAACGCUGAAGCACCAGCUUGCUGGUGUGGAUGAGUGGCGAACGGGUGAGUAAUACGUGAGUAACCUGCCCUUGACUCUGGGAUAAGCCCGGGAAACUGGGUCUAAUACUGGAUGCUACAUGUCACCGCAUGGUGGUGUGUGGAAAGGGUUUACUGGUCUUGGAUGGGCUCACGGCCUAUCAGCUUGUUGGUGAGGUCAUGGCUCACCAAGGCGACGACGGGUAGCCGGCCUGAGAGGGUGACCGGCCACACUGGGACUGAGACACGGCCCAGACUCCUACGGGGGGCAGCCGUGGGGAAUAUUGCACAAUGGGCGAAAGCCUGAUGCAGCGACGCCGCGUGGGGGAUGACGGCCUUCGGGUUGUAAACCUCUUUCAGCAGGGAAGAAGCCACAAGUGACGGUACCUGCAGAAGAAGCGCCGGCUAACUACGUG